rnacentral:rRNA from 1 species
UACAGAGGUCUCAAGCGUUGUUCGGAUUCAUUGGGCGUAAAGGGUGCGUAGGCGGCGCGGUAAGUCGGGUGUGAAAUCUCGGAGCUUAACUCCGAAACUGCAUUCGAUACUGCCGUGCUUGAGGACUGGAGGGGAGACUGGAAUUUACGGUGUAGCGGUGAAAUGCGUAGAUAUCGUAAGGAAGACCAGUGGCGAAGGCGGGUCUCUGGACAGUUCCUGACGCUGAGGCACGAAGGCCAGGGGAGCAAACGGG